AAAACAAAUAAACUUGUUAGAUGAUGGAAUGACAUAGAAGUAAUCAUAGAGAACAUGGAUAACCCAUUUUUAUGCUCAAAUUCAUUGAAACAAAGUGUGACACCAAGGUCAGAUAAACACAACACAUAAAGAGAACACAUAGGAAGACACAUACCAGUUGGGAUUCCAAGAACCUUUGAGCCACGACCAAAUCCCUUGAUCACAGGACCACCAAUAUGCCAAGGUUUGAUAGGCAAAGUACCCUCCAUCC